AUUAGGCAGGCGGAGAUGAAGGAGGCUGAAUCUCACAUCCUCAGUGACUAGCUGGGACAGUCAGUGUGCUCUGAGGAGCUGGGGGCUUGUUCCUGUGGGCUCAGAGUACAAAGUCUGAGCCACUUUUGAAAGCAAGAAAUGGCUGUCAUUAAGGAAAAACGGCAUUCCUGAGGUCACUUCAGAGGGAGGUGUGAUUCUCCCUUGCAGAGCAGAACCAAGAGCCCAGGAAGGUAGCAAGGAUGAAGGGAAUGAGCUGUGGGGACGGGAUUACCUCCAGGAGAGGGGCUGGAGGAAUGCCAACAGCUAAAUGACCGAACCACCUUCAAAGGAAUUUGGAAGAUCGCCUUCCCCAGCCACCAGGCUGCUUUGGGAGAUGCCUUUCACUGUGUUGGGGUGAAUAUCACCGAGCAGGAACAGGAAGAAGACUCCAGCCCUUCUGACACAGCAGAGGUUUCCUCCUAGAAGACAGGGAUAAGGAGGGCAGAGGGCUUCAUGUGGGCCACUGUGGGACUGUAACACCACGAAGGCCAACGGUGAGCUCCUUGGGCAUGGCCUGGGCAGCACUGAGCAGAAGGUGUUGGGCAAGUCCUUGAAGUCUGAGUUUCUGCGAGAGAAUUUGGAUUUUUUUUUUUUUUUUUGGUCAGAGAAUUGUGUGCAGGGUGGACAAGGAAACAAAUACGUCCGAGAGAAUCAACAGUUUGGGAAUAUGCAAGUUAACUUUCCAUGGCUGUGUUUCUUUGAAGAUGGACAAUGAGGUGAAACCACAGCAGGUCCCCGUGGGCUCUCACUAGGGCAAGACACAUCCCUGUAUGUCAUUGCCCCAUCUGUACUGGCUUCCCAGGCAGCCUUCAGCCGGCGUGACAGGGUUUUCCUGCCCGAGCCAACUUGAAUCAAUGUGGAGCGUAAGAUUUCAGGAGACAGUAUCAAGCCCUUCAGUAAAAUCCAAAUAGAUUGCAGCUGCUCUGCGCUACAUUAGCCCCUUAAUUUUGCAAUUCUGUCCCAAAAAACUGGGGGGAAGGGCAAAGAAAGCUGGAGUCUGAUGGGAUUUUGAUUCCGCAAAAUCAAACGCGAGUCAGAGGAAGUACUUUCCUCGGGCAGGUCGGCAUGGCAGAUUUUCCAUGUCUGUAACAUGGGCUUCUUUCGCUACCCCUGCAAGCCCCUUUUAUCCAUAAUUAAUGAUUGGCUUCUUCCCUGAAUUGGAAUUAUCUGGGUUUUCCAUGGCUAGUAUAAAAUUUUCUGAAGCAAAUUUUGGCUCUUAAGGCUCCUGUUGGCUUCCAGAGGGACUUCUGUUCCACAGGGAAGCGUUCUUCAAAACAGUUAAACGUAAAAAAAAUAAUAACAAAAAAUCCACUGCAGCCCCAAAACAAAUGAUAUAUAACUAGGUCUGUACUGAGCCAGUUUGGUGUCAUAGAUCAAGAGGGGGCCCUGGAGAUGCACCAGCCCUGCACGUUUCAGCACAACGUGACGUUUCCUGGAAAUUGCUGUCCCUCCAGCCUGCAGGGCAUCUCUGGUGUUGGGGAAUCCCAGAGAAAUGCCCGUGGGUGUUGGCUAUGGGUGGUGGCGGGGUUUAUCACUUUCAGAUCAGCUGGCAGUGUUUGUCUACACACAUCUGAGAUAAUUUCCCCUCCCACCCUAUCCUCCCAGCCUUCGUUAACAAAAACUUCCAGAGAUCUAAUCCCGAAAUACUGGGUGCUCUUCAGGACUCUGCCAGCCAUUGACCUCAAGAGUGUUGUGGACACAAAAGAGUGAACCUUGCAUCUUGUAUGUUCCUUUUUAUUUUUUAU